rnacentral:rRNA from 1 species
AGCAAUCUGCCUUGAAGUGGGGAAUAACGGCUGGAAACAGCCGCUAAUACCGCAUGAUACAGUUGGGAGGCAUCUCUCUGACUGUCAAAGAUUUAUCGCUCUGAGAUGAGCUCGCGUCUGAUUAGCUGGUUGGCGGGGUAACGGCCCACCAAGGCGACGAUCAGUAGCCGGACUGAGAGGUUGGCCGGCCACAUUGGGACUGAGACACGGCCCAGACUCCUACGGGAGGCAGCAG